GACCUUACCUGGCAGGGAAGACAUCAUAAUCACAAAGUUGGUUUUCCCGGGCAAGGCUUAUCCAUUGCCUCUGGAUGUGUUGGUCCCUCUGAUUCCCCAGAUGCAGGAAAACUGACUGCAUGGUUUGUGGUAGUGGGGAUUGCAUUCAUGUUCCCGU
ensembl:snRNA U1 U1 spliceosomal RNA